UACAGAGGGUGCGAGCGUUAAUCGGAAUGACUGGGCGUAAAGGGCACGUAGGCGGUAGGACAAGUUAGAUGUGAAAUGCCAGGGCUUAACCUUGGGACUGCAUCUAAAACUGUUUUACUAGAGUUCACUAGAGGGAAGUGGAAUUUCCGGUGUAGCGGUGAAAUGCGUAGAUAUCGGAAGGAACAUCAGUGGCGAAGGCGGCUUUCUGGAGUUGAACUGACGCUAAGGUGCGAAAGCGUGGGGAGCAAACAGGAUUAGAUACCCCCGUA
rnacentral:rRNA from 1 species